AACGGAUCUCUUGGCUCUCGCAUCGAUGAAGAACGCAGCGAAAUGCGAUAAGUAAUGUGAAUUGCAGAAUUCAGUGAAUCAUCGAAUCUUUGAACGCACCUUGCGCCUUUUGGUAUUCCGAAAGGCAUGCCUGUUUGAGUGUCAU
rnacentral:rRNA from 2 species